UACGUAGGGGGCAAGCGUUGUCCGGAUUCAUUGGGCGUAAAGCGCGCGUAGGCGGCUCGGAAAGUCGGUCGUGAAAUGCCGGGGCUCAACCCCGGGACUGCGUCCGAUACUUCCGGGCUGGAGGUAGGUAGGGGAGAUCGGAAUUCCUGGUGUAGCGGUGAAAUGCGCAGAUAUCAGGAGGAACACCGGUGGCGAAGGCGGAUCUCUGGGCCUUACCUGACGCUGAGGCGCGAAAGCUAGGGGAGCGAACAGG
rnacentral:rRNA from 1 species